rnacentral:rRNA from 1 species
CCUACGGGGGGCAGCAGUGGGGAAUUUUGGACAAUGGGGGCAACCCUGAUCCAGCCAUGCCGCGUGAGUGAAGAAGGCCUUCGGGUUGUAAAGCUCUUUCGGCCGGGAAGAAAUCGUGUGGGCUAAUACCCUGCAUGGAUGACGGUACCGGAAUAAGAAGCACCGGCUAACUACGUGCCAGCAGCCGCGGUAAUACGUAGGGUGCGAGCGUUAAUCGGAAUUACUGGGCGUAAAGCGUGCGCAGGCGGUUUGGUAAGACAGGCGUGAAAUCCCCGGGCUCAACCUGGGAACUGCGCUUGUGACUGCCUCACUAGAGUACGGCAGAGGGGGGUGGAAUUCCACGUGUAGCAGUGAAAUGCGUAGAGAUGUGGAGGAACACCGAUGGCGAAGGCAGCCCCCUGGGUCGAUACUGACGCUCAUGCACGAAAGCGUGGGUAGCAAACAGGAUUAGAUACCCUGGUAGUC